rnacentral:misc_RNA from 1 species
GAGAGAGAAGUAAUUCUUGUAUUGAAUUCUUGGCUGACCCAAUUGCUUACAAUGCUACUCUAUUUAUAUAAUAUUUUCCUCUCAUACCUAUUCCCAUUGUUAUCAUGACAGAUUCAUUACUCCAUCAAUUGGUCCAAACUGCCAUCUCGAAUGCCACAGAUAAGAAUGGAGAAUUGUAUGGAAUCGAUGGAGAGGAAUCUUGCCUUGGUGGAUUUGAAUCCAGCAGGUCGGGCCAAUUGGGAAUAAAGAAUCUAAAAGCAUAACAGGGAAGAAAAUAAAUAGAGAAAAUCAUGAAUUCUAGCUUCUUGGCAUAUUUUGGAGGAGAAUGAAUAUAUAUGCAUGAAGAAACAGAUCACAUCAUUUAAAGACAAUGUGGGGAGAAACUCCCUAUGGAACCCUGAAAUCACAGGAGUAUUUUGAGAACAUCCAUCGGUUUGACAUUUUGGUUCAUAUAAUAUCAACCUCAAAUACUAUCUCUGGCUACUUUAUCAUGGUACCUUCUGCCACUUUAAGAGUCAACAAUUUCAUGAAGUGCUUGUAUAAUCUUGGAAAGCACAGGAAAGGUAACAAAACCAAGAAAUUUUUCUUCACGGCAAUCUCUUUCUGAGAAUAGAUUGUUAUUGUUACUGCAAUUACAAAUGGCAUAAUGAGAUAAAUGCUAUUACUUCGGUGUUGAACUUUUUAUUUACACAAUUUAUCACUUCCUCUUCGUUUCUCAUUUUGUUGGACAGAAGUUCUUUUUCCUCCCUUGGUGAAUAAGUAUAUGAUAAAGUGUAGAAGCUUACAUCUUUGUGUGCUUAUGAAUGUACUUAUUCAACUGAUUUGUUUCUUCGGGGUGCCAGGGAGGUGGUACUUAGACAUUCAUUAACUUGGUUUUUGCCGAAUAUACUAAAACGCACGAAGUGGAGACUAGUUUGAUCACUGCUUUCAAUAGCAAUCUCCCUAUGUACUAUUGGAGGUUAGCAUGGUCCUGAAGGGCGCAGACUCCAUUUUGUUUGGUAACAAUGAAGUUUAUUUUAUUUUUAUGAAGUUUUUAUUUACCUUCUGAUUUAUUUGUGUUUUUCAGGUGAACAUAUGGUUUUGUUUUUCUAAAACUUUUCCCUCGCCCAGGGCUCACUGACACAAAAGAUUCUGUUGCGUUCUUGAGAGCAAUGGAAAUUAUUAAACAGCAAGGGAUACUCGCGAGCUUCCUUCCAAUAUUAAAAUAAAAUUCGCUUUUCCUCCCACUCAAACCACCGCCACCCCCACCCCUCUCUCUGCCCCUCCCUCCAUCUCUUCCCUUUAAUAUGUUUGAAAUUUUUUAAAAUCAAAAUUUAUGCUAUGGUAGCAAUGAGGGAGUUACAGCAUAUCACAUUUGGUUACCAUUGACCUAAAUUUGAAAGGCUGUGUAUAUAAUAAUGAUUGGUUAUAAUUGCAAAUUUCAGCAAAGUUAUAGGUUUUUUUUUUUUUUUUUUCAGAUUGGUGCAGGGCGUAAAUAUCUAAGAUUUAU